rnacentral:lncRNA from 1 species
CUCUGUUCACGGAAAGGGCCUGGGAGCUGCAACACCUCAACAGCAACAAGCACACCUGCUACCUAGAACUUGGUUUCUAAAAACCAUCCUCCUCUAAAAGGAAACAGAGCUCUUUGAAGAAACGCAGAAGGUAAGCAUGAGCAAAUUACUUUUUAGAGGUAACUUUGCUGAACUUGUGAAGAAUGGUGUGCAAGGUCCAGAGCGACUGCAGGAGAGGGAAGGUGGGAUUCCCACAGAGCAGGAGCACAGAUAAGCCAAGCAAGGCCCUGCUUGGAAGGCAGCAAUCAACAGAGAUGCACAGACCUGUGAGGGUGCCGGGACAGCCAUGCAACAAUGCAGCCCUUUUGCUUCCUGAGCUCACCAGUUCCCUCGCUCCACCUCUGAGAGGUGGUUUGGAGAAACACAGCCCUUCUCAAGAGGGCUGCAAGCUACUUAAGUCCUGAAAAUUUCCACAAGGCUGAGUCAAAUCUGCGUUUCAUCAUCUAUAAGAAAGGUACCUAUCGAGAACACCCUGCUGGCCAGUGUGUAAAUAUCUAAAGGAGGACUCAGAAAACACCGGGGAAGUCCAGCCUGCACGUGGUGGCUGGGCUUCAGUGAAGCAUGCAGCACAACAGGAGUUAGCAGCCAUGCACUGCCCAGGCUGGAAGUAUGCUCAACCACAAGGGUCAGGGCUGGGAGAGGCGCUUCGGUAGC